CGGCGCGGAGAGGCCCCCACCCGCCCUGGGAGGGAGCGGGCACUCGGCGGCGCUGCGCGGACUCGCGCUCGCCUCCCACACCCCCGCACACAAAGACGCCGCUCGGCGGAGGGAGCAGGCGCCCGCAGCGGGCGCGGGGGCGCACGGGACGCGGGCCCCGGGGACGCCGCCGCAGGGACGCGCGCCCGCAGCCCCCGGGUCCCCACAGCUGCAUAGCCCGGCCCUCAGCCCGAGCGGCCGGCGCGGGAUACGGGGAUGUGGGGAUGAUGGGGAGAGAGGAAGGGGACCAGGCGCCCCGGGUAGAGCUUGUCAGCUCAGCCCCGCGGCAUCAUGGGGUUUGUAGUCCGCCUCGUGAAACUGGGGGUGGCAGGUGGCCGAAGAGGGUCUGCACUGUCCCCGGAUCUCGUGGGAGAGUGGGCGGGGAGUCAGGCCUGGCCCAGACGCGGGCGGGGCCCUGACGCCAGGUGGGCUGGGACGCACCUCCCCCGCUGGCAUUUUGCCUUUUGCUGGGGAAGUGGGGGGGCACGGGCCUAGGUCGAGCGUUUGGGAGACGGGGUGGAGGUGUGGUCUUCAGAAUUGAGCUUGGGUCCCAGGGGCCAUGAAGAAGGAUCCGGAUUCCCAGAAGAGAGCGUCUGAUUGGGAACUCCUGAGAAAGGUGUGGGGCAUCAGUACCAAGGGUCAUUGGAGCAGCCAGGGGUCUGGCCCCUGGAACAUUUCUGAGGAGUCUUCCCUGCCCUGUUAGAAAAUUAAACUCCAUCUUCCACACAUGUCAUUGGAAACAGAAUGUCCAGUAACGCGGGAAAGAUGGUCCCUUUCCCCCCGCACACUGUCCCCAGCAAGAACCAGAGUGAGGUUGGACAGAAAAAGCAGCAGGUGGCAGCUCCGUUCCUCCACCCAGCUGGCCCUUCAGGAAGGGAAGUGACUGAUUCCAGAGACUGUCUCCUUCCUGAAUGACCCCAGGGUGAAGAGGUACUUCCAGAAUGGUCCCUGCAGAGGGUGUGGUAAAAGUUGAAUUGGCCUCUCAAGCGCCAAUUGCAAGGCCUGGAAGGACCAAGAGGCUUGGACCAGUCCCUGGAGGGAGGGGACUGUGAUGUCAGAGAGACCAGAGUUCGAAUAGCUCCAACUGCCUGACCUUAAAAGAGCAAACUGCUUAAUUUUUCCGACUUUCUCGGUCCACUCCCCUUCAAAAUGAGAAUCUAGAUACUACCUCCUGGGGUGAGCUAAGGAUAAUGACUGCCCUGGAAACAGCGCCUCCCUCCCCCAACCAGGCGGGCCGAGACAGGUGGCGGGACCAGGCACGGUGCCUUCUUGAGCCCACCUCAGAACAAGGCAGGAAUAAGGGAUUCCACACCGGCCCUACUUAAAACAACAAUCCAAGAAGUGUUUGUGUGGGAGGUGCCAGCAAAAGCUUGCAAACUCUCUCAGGUUUCUUUGUGUGGUCUUCCCUCCUUCCUCCUCCACACCCUGUGGUGCCAGGCCCCAGCGGGAAGAGAUGAGGGAGGAGCGGGCUGCCUCGCCCCUUUCUCCCGCCUGGGAGGAGCCAGCUGGCGUCUCCGGGGGCCCGGGACCGCUGCCCGCCUGCACCACCAGGGGUCAGCAGAGUGUCGUGGCUGCAGCCAGUGCAGGGGAGGGGGCUGGCGCGGUUGAGGGGCAUCUAGGAGUGGCCGGGAGCAUGCCUGUGCAUUUCCUUAUUAAAUUGUUUUUCGAACCUUGUGUGUGAUUCCACUGUAGCAGUCCUGCUUCCUGGGGUGGUGACAUCUCCACGGGGGAAUCCAGAAACCCUUUUAUCUCCAGUCCCAGGCCCAGAAGUUUGGCUGUGACGGGGCUGGGGGAAACAAAGUUUGGACGAUGUGUCCGCGCCAGGGCCACUCCCAGGCGGCGGUAGACACUGAACCCAGGUCGCUUGCGCUUCGGCCCGCGCUCUCAGCUGCCACGUGCUCGAGACGCGCCCACACAGCGGAGAAACAAAGACAGCCAAGCGGCAGGGCUGCCAGCAGCCUCCUCGACAUUUAAUAAAUGAAAUUCCAUAGCUGGGGGUCGAUCGGGGGUGAACGGGCGGCCACCGCUCGUGGACUGAGCGCCUGGCACGGGCUGCCUGGCCACUCCUCCCGUCUCACUCCCCCCGCCCCUUACCCCCUUCCCGCUGAGGCCACCAAGCCCAUGGACUCUGGUGAGAGAGCAGCUCGGGGCGGCAGGUGGUGCUCCCCCCUACACACCAGCUAGGAGCCUGCCCACCCACAAAUCACUGCCGCUCUGGCACCGUUGGGAUAAUCGACCAACUUGAGCACCCCUGCCAAAGGACUGCCCCCAUCUUAACAAGCAGGAGUCUCUGACUCUUGGAGAACCCCUCCUCAAUUGUCACCACUGACCUGGCCCCCAGGUCUGGCCCUGGGGACCUCUACCCUCUCCCCACAAGCAGAGUGCCCGGGCCUUUUGCUGCUGCAGGGAUUGGGGGUUGGGUACACGCGCGGCACACGCGUAUGGGGGCGCAUGCUCAGUGCGGGGGCUGCGCUCAUGUGCGGCCUCUACCUAGGCUCCCUGCCCCCCAGCCCACCCACGUCCCUCACCUGCCUUGCCUUUGCCUGCCUCGUCGUGUGAAGUCCAGGAAGAAAGGCCGUCACCUGAAACGGCCCCUCUAUGUUAUAUGCACCCUUUCUGGACACACACACCUCUGGUGGCCCAGAAACACCGUGGGUGUGUGUAAGGCGGAUGACAAGUGGAUGUGAGUGCACACAGGCACAGUGGUCACUCCUCGGGAGGUCUUUAAAAACCGCCCAGAUUCUCUCCUCUCUGGAUGGAAGGAUGCAUGGAGAGAUAGAUAUAUUUUUAGUCCGGAGGCAGGGGAAUACACUGCCUGACCUUUCUGGCACCUGGGCGUCCAUAUUGUUAGCAGUGGGCGUAUUCAGCAAGAGUGUGACACAUACACACACACCCCUGGACACACAGAUGUGGACACCUACGGGACAGGGACGCACACCUCACCCCAACCAGAGAUAGACGGGUACCCCAAGGCACAGCCCCUUUGACCUGGAGCGGGACUUGGGCCUCCAAGUCCUUCUUCCCUAAUCCCCACCCUCGCCGUCCGUGGGCCCAGCGUCCCCCGGUCCACCCCACGCGGAAAGUGAAGGGGAGGGGGCUGUGAGGGUGACUCACAUUGCCUCCGGGCCAGGCGAGCGCUGCAGCGGAGGCCAGGGCCGCAG
rnacentral:lncRNA from 10 species